CCUCAUUGGUUUCACCUUUAGGAUGGCAUAGUCCUUAGGGAUAUUUCUCCGUUUCCUCUUUGUUAAUAAACUUCUUAACAUAUUAUUCUUCGAAUAAUUCUACUAUAAAGUAACUAAUAUGAAUUUAUUUUAUCAUAUCAUGAUUGUUGGGAAUUAUGAAAUUAGCUAUUCAUAAUCAUAAAUAGAUAUACCUGUUCGGGUAGCUUUGUUAUUUCUGAGUUUUGUUGUUCCAUAGCUUUUUCCAUUGGAAUAUGUUUAUCUAAUUAACUGAGUAAAAUAUUUUUUGUGGAUUGGAGAGAGCAAAGGUGCUUCAACGCAUGAAGGCUUGCUUUUGCAAUGCCUUCUGCCUUUGUUAUAUAUAGAACGAAAGAAUAAGCUUACAAUUUACACAUGUUUCUUGUUUCUAAAACUAAGACUAAAGAAAGUGAAAAGUCAAAGAAAGGGGGGCCUAUGCCUAUCUAAAUUUUCUAACUUUACGUAAUCUAACUUUUCUAACUUUUCUAAUUUUUCUAACUUUACGUAAAGUUUUUCAACAAUCUAAUUAAUGUACAACUAUUGCAAUCAAGACUUUUGAUACAUUAAUAUACAAUAAUUCUGCCUUUGUACAGUAUCUUGUCUCCGUUGAUUUUGUCGUAUCUGUUCCAUUAUUGCUCUGUAUCUGCUCCAUUAUUGCUCUUUAUCUUAUCUUUCCAGCUGGCAUUUUGUCUUCUUUAUUCUAGAUGUACCUCUGGAAUAAUAUUAUCUUCUCCAUUGCACCUCGAACAUUGGUGGUCUGGAUAUUUAUGUCCAAUUAUUUUACAGUAUCUUGUUAGCAGUCCUUCUGAAAUAAAUCCCUUUUUUAUUGCUCUCGCGGUAGAUUGUUUUUCUGGGUUAAGUAGCGUCAUUAUCCAUUGUCUUACGUCUUCCAUAUCUGCUUGUCGUAGCUCUUUUGAAUUUGAAUAUAUCAUUUGAUGAUCUCUUGAAUAGUAGCUCCAUAUUGGGUUUCCGUUAGCAUAGUUAUUUGCUAGUUCUUGAAUGAUCGUAGCUAGUCCAAUAAGUCUUUUAUUUGCAUAAAAAUCUGGUAUCUCGAUUCUAGGUAUCUCCGGUUGUUGCGAAAUAUCUUCUGGUAUAAUCAUAUCUCUUGUUAAUCCUAUCUUUACAACUUGUAUAACUGGUUUUAUUUCAUCAUAUAAUAUCUCUGCUGGUGCAGUAUAACACUUUAUAUAAAAUAAAUUUCCUUUUGUUAUUCUUUUGUAGGUAGUGAAUAUCUUGUAUAAUUCCUCCAUAGCUGUUAGCUCUUCUCCGUCUUGGGUAUAUAUGGUAUUUAGUAGUCCAUAGUCAAAACAGGUUUUAACUAGGCUUGGGUUAGUUUUGGGUAGUGCGAUUAAUUUAUUGUAUCCUUGUAAUUUUUGGGUUAUAUAAUUGGUAUUUGGUUCUUUGAUGUCUGUAGCUCUGGGGUUAUGGUUUAGAAAGGUUUGUACUCUGUAUAUAUUUUCUAUGUAUUUCUGGGCGGUGUAGUUGUAUUUUUAUUCCUAAUAUUAUAUCUGUUUUUUGCAUUUCUUCCUUAAAAAUAAUAACAAAGGAAGAAUAUUUAAAUGAUGAAGAAACGGAACAAAAAAUAAUAUUUGACAGUAAUAUAUUUGAUGAAAUAAAAGGAAAAGAAUUAGAUUUAAGUGUAGAGAAAAUAUUUAAAAUACCAACAAUAAAAAAUAUUUUUACUAGGAAAAAGGAUGAAUAUUAUGUAGUAUGCCAAAAAGAACAUGUAAUAGACUGCAGAUAUGCAAAAGGAAAAGCUAGUAUACCACUAGUAACAAAAAGAAUAAUUAAUAAAGAAAUAAAUGAUAUAAAAAGUAAAGGAGAUCCAAUAAAAUAUGUACACCUUGGAGGUACAGAGAUAUUAAUAAAAGCAUGUUUUAGAGAAGGAAUAGAUACACCAAUAGAAUUAUAUUUAGCAGACGAUAGAAUUAUAAAACCUAUAGAAAAAAGCAUAAUAACUGCCGUAAAAGGAAAUCUAAUAUACCAAAAAUUUAAAUUUAUAAUAAGUGCAAAUUAUUCAGUAGCAGUAACAGAUAGGAAUAUAGAUAAAUCAUUAGUAUUAUAUUGGAAAAUAUCAGGAAUAGAAUUAACCCCAGGAAGUAAAAUAUUUACAGCAAGAUGUAAAAAUCUAUAUGUAUUAACAACAAAACAUAAAAUAACAGGAAAAAAUAAGAUUAACAAAAUACAAAUAGAAAGCCCAUUCGAACAAAUAGUAAAAACAAUAGAUUAUAAUGAUUAUACCUAUAGAGACAUAGAUACAGAAGAAAAUUUAGAAAUAGUAAAUGAUAGAAUAAGUACAACGAAAAGAAUAGCUAAUGAAAAACCAGAAUCAUCAAGCUCAUCAAAAAGAACAAGUUAUGAAACAAAUUCAAUAAGUAAUUUAAACCAAUAUUACAUAACAGGAAAAAUAAAUGAAAAAGAAUAUCUAAUACUUUUGAAUACAGGACAAGAAGAAAAUCAUAUAGCAAAAUAUCUAGUAAAAAAUGAAGAAAUAAAAACCGAUAAUAAUAUAUGCCCAGAUUUACCAAGAAGUUUAAUAAAUAAUAAAAAUCUAGCAGAAAAAGAAAUAAUAUUAGGAGUUAGAAAAAUAAAAAUAGAAUUCGAAGUAAAAGAAGAAAUGCAAAAAGCAGAUAUAAUAUUAGGAAUAAAAUGGUUAGAACAAGUAAAACCAUAUAAUAUAGAACAUACACAAUUAACCUUAACAUAUAACCAAGAAAAGUUAUUCUUAAAAAGAGCCUUAACAUGAAAUGAAGAUACAUGUAUUAAUGAAGAUAGUAGUAGAAGGAUAUUACAGUAGAUAUUAUACGCCUAUGAUAGAUACAGGAGCAGAAGCUAAUUUAUGUAGAUAUAAUUGCUUACCAGAAAGCAAAUGGGAUAAACUAAAAACACCAAUAAUAGUUAAAGGAUUUAAUAAUGAAGGAAGCUUAAUUACUUAUAAAGCUAGGAAUGUAAAAAUACAAGUAUGGGAUAAGAUAUUAACAAUAGAAGAAAUUUAUAACUAUGAAUUAACAUCAAAAGAUAUACUUUUAGGAAUGCCAUUUUUAGAUAAAUUAUACCCACAUAUAAUAACUAAAACAGACUGGUGGUUUACAACACCAUGCAAACAAAAAGUAAGAGCAAAAAGAGUUAAUAAUAAAAUAAGAAAGAAAACUGAUUGGAUAAAAGGAAGUGAAAAAAUUACACAAAAGUUAGAAAAUAUAAACAAUACUGAAGAUACAGUAGAACUAGUAGUAUUUUCGAUAAAUAAAACAGAAAUAACUAUAUUUUCAAUAAAUAAAAUAGAAAUAAUUCAGAAAAAAUUAGAACAAUUAUAUAGUGAAGAUCCAUUAAAAGGAUGGGAAAAACACAAAACUACUAUAAAAAUUGAAUUAAUAGAUAAGAAUAGCAUAAUAACACAAAAACCAUUAACAUAUAAUUUUGAUGAUUUAAAAGAAUUUAAAAUGCACAUAGAUGAAUUAUUAGAAAAACAAUAUAUACAAAAAAGUAAUAGUAAACAUAAUAGUCCAGCAUUUAUAGUAAAUAAACAUAGUGAACAAAAAAGAGGAAAAAGUAGGAUGGUUAUUGACUAUAGAAAUUUAAAUGCAAAAACUAUAACAUAUAAUUAUCCGAUACCAAAUAAGAUAUUAAAAAUAAGACAAAUCCAAGGAUAUAAUUAUUUUAGCAAAUUUGAUUGUAAAUCAGGAUUUUACCACCUAAAGCUAGAAGAAGAAUCUAAAGAAUUAACCGCAUUUACGGUACCACAAGGAUUUUAUGAAUGGAACGUGUUACCAUUUGGAUAUAAAAAUGCACCAGGUAGAUAUCAACAUUUUAUGGAUAAUUAUUUUAAACAAUUAUCUAAUUGUAUAGUAUACAUAGAUGAUAUAUUAUUAUACACCAAAACCAAAGAAGAACAUUUAAAAUUAUUAGAACAAUUCACAGAUAUAAUAGAAAAAUCAGGAAUAAGUCUAAGCAAAAAGAAAGCUGAAAUUAUGAAAAACCAGAUAGAAUUUUUAGGAAUACAAAUAGAUAAAAGUGGAGUAAAAAUGCAACAACAUAUAGUACAAAAAAUAAUAAAUUCGAAAGAAGAAUUAGAUACAAAAAAGAAAUUACAAUCAUUUUUAGGAUUAGUAAACCAAGUAAGAGAAUAUAUUCCAAAAUUAGCAGAAACCUUAAAACCACUGCAGAAAAAAUUAAAAAAGGAUAUAGAAUAUAAUUAUGAUGAAAAAGAUAAAAAACAAGUUCAAAAAAUAAAAUUACUUUGUAGAGAAUUACCAAAAUUGCAAUUUCCAGAUGAAAAUAGAAAAUUUAUAUAUAUAGUAGAAGCAGAUGCAAGUGAAUAUAGUUACGGAGGAGUACUUAAAUAUCGAUAUGAAGCAGAAAAAAUAGAACACCAUUGUAGAUACUACUCAGGUACGUUCAACGAGACAGAAAUAAAAUGGGAAAUAAAUAGGAAAGAAUUAUGUUCAUUAUAUAAAUGUUUAUUAGCAUUUGAGCCAUAUAUUGUAUAUAACAAAUUUAUUGUACGAACAGAUAAUACACAGGUACGCUGGUGGUUAACAAAGAAAAUACAAAAUUCAGUUACAACAAAAGAGAUUCGAAGACUAGUUUUAAAUAUAUUAAAUUUCACAUUUACAAUUGAAGUGAUCAGUACUAACAAAAAUGUUAUUGCAGAUUACAUAUCAAGACAAAGCUACACAGACUGAAAUAGUAGAGGAAGAUACUCUAGAAAAAAUACUUAACACCCUAACUACGCUUUCAAUGAAAGUGGACAGUAUGGGUAAUGAGAUAGAAAAGCUAAAGACUAAUGAAGAUAAACUGAAGUCUAUAGCUACAAAUCAGCUAACUCAGCAAUGUGCAGAGCUAUGUCGAUCGAAAGACAUUAAAAAUCCAGAGCUAGAAGGAGACGUUGGGACACUCCAUAAAACCCAUAACAUUUAUCAAUCUACUUCUGCAGGUACAAGCAAAGGAGUUAAUAGACCAAGAUACCAGAAUGUAAAUAUGAACAAAAUAUUUGAAAAACCAUUUACCCCAAAAGCACAAAAAGACCAUUUAUUCAUACCCCCACAAGUUAACACAUACCGAGACAGCCUAAACCAAGACAAGAAAAUAUACAACUACACAGCCCAAAAAUACAUAGAAAAUAUAUAUAGAGUCCAAACCUUUCUAAACCAUAACCCCAGAGCUACAAAUAUCCAAGAACCAAAUACCAAUUAUAUAACCCAAAAACUACAAGGAUACAAUAAACUGAUAGCACUACCCAAAACUAACCCAAGCCUAGUUAAAACUUGUUUUGACUAUGGACUACUAAAUACCAUAUACACCCAAGACGGAGAAGAGCUAACAGCCAUGGAAGAAUUAUAUAAGAUAUUCACUACCUAUAAAAGAAUAACAAAAGGAAAUUUAUUUUAUAUAAAGUGUUAUACUGCACCAGCAGAGAUAUUAUAUGAUGAGAUAAAACCAGUGAUACAAGUUGUAAAGAUAGGACUGACAAGAGAUAUGAUUAUACCAGAAGAUAUAUCGCAACAACCAGAGAUACCUAGAAUCGAGAUACCAGAUUUUUAUGCAAAUAAAAGACUUAUUGGACUAGCUACGAUCAUACAAGAACUAGCAAAUAACUACGCUAACGGAAAUCCAAUAUGGAGCUACUAUUCAAGAGAUCACCAAAUGAUAUAUUCAAAUUCGAAAGAACUAAGACAAGCAGAUAUGGAAGACGUAAGACAAUGGAUACUGACGCUACUUAACCCAGAAAAACAAUCUACCGCGCGAGCAAUAAGAAAAGGAGUUAUUUCAGACGGACUGCUAACAAGAUACUGUAAGAUAAUCGGACAUAAAUAUCCAGACCACCAAUGUUCGAGGUGCAAUGGAGAAGAUAAUAUUAUUCCAGAGGUACAUCUAGAAUAAAGAAGACAAAAUGCCAGCUGGAAAGAUAAGAUAAAGAGCAAUAAUGGAGCAGAUACAGAGCAAUAAUGGAGCAGAUAAAAAGCAAUAAUGGAGCAGAAAAAGAGAAAGAAUGGAGCAGAUACGACGCAAUAAUGGAGCAGAAAAAGAGCAAUAAUGGAGCAGAUACGACAAAAUCAACGGAGACAAGAUACUGUACAAAAACAGAAUUAUUGUACAUUAUGUAACAAAAGUCUUUUGUACAUUUAUUAGGUUGUUGAAAUUAUUGACAACCUUUACGUAANNNNNNNNNNNNNNNNNNNNNNNNNNNNNNNNNNNNNNNNNNNNNNNNNNNNNNNNNNNNNNNNNNNNNNNNNNNNNNNNNNNNNNNNNNNNNNNNNNNNNNNNNNNNNNNNNNNNNNNNNNNNNNNNNNNNNNNNNNNNNNNNNNNNNNNNNNNNNNNNNNNNNNNNNNNNNNNNNNNNNNNNNNNNNNNNNNNNNNNNNNNNNNNNNNNNNNNNNNNNNNNNNNNNNNNNNNNNNNNNNNNNNNNNNNNNNNNNNNNNNNNNNNNNNNNNNNNNNNNNNNNNNNNNNNNNNNNNNNNNNNNNNNNNNNNNNNNNNNNNNNNNNNNNNNNNNNNNNNNNNNNNNNNNNNNNNNNNNNNNNNNNNNNNNNNNNNNNNNNNNNNNNNNNNNNNNNNNNNNNNNNNNNNNNNNNNNNNNNNNNNNNNNNNNNNNNNNNNNNNNNNNNNNNNNNNNNNNNNNNNNNNNNNNNNNNNNNNNNNNNNNNNNNNNNNNNNNNNNNNNNNNNNNNNNNNNNNNNNNNNNNNNNNNNNNNNNNNNNNNNNNNNNNNNNNNNNNNNNNNNNNNNNNNNNNNNNNNNNNNNNNNNNNNNNNNNNNNNNNNNNNNNNNNNNNNNNNNNNNNNNNNNNNNNNNNNNNNNNNNNNNNNNNNNNNNNNNNNNNNNNNNNNNNNNNNNNNNNNNNNNNNNNNNNNNNNNNNNNNNNNNNNNNNNNNNNNNNNNNNNNNNNNNNNNNNNNNNNNNNNNNNNNNNNNNNNNNNNNNNNNNNNNNNNNNNNNNNNNNNNNNNNNNNNNNNNNNNNNNNNNNNNNNNNNNNNNNNNNNNNNNNNNNNNNNNNNNNNNNNNNNNNNNNNNNNNNNNNNNNNNNNNNNNNNNNNNNNNNNNNNNNNNNNNNNNNNNNNNNNNNNNNNNNNNNNNNNNNNNNNNNNNNNNNAAAAAGAUAUAAAAAAUAUGCAGUUACUAGAAAAACAUAUAAAAAUAAAUAUAGAUAAAUACAUGGAAAACAAAGAUAUAAAAUUUCUUAAUAAAAAUAUGCAAAAACUGCUAAGACUAAAACAAACAGCUACAAAACAAUUUUAAAAAUAGAUCAUUUAGAUUAUCUUAAAGUUUUAAUCUUAUAUAUACUUAAAAACAUAGAAAUUAUAGAUAUUAAGAAAAUAAUAUUAGAAAAAGUAAUAGAUUACGAAACUGAAACUAUAAAUUACCUAGAACAGUUAUACGAAGAAAUUUACCCAGAAGGAUAUUAUUCAGAUUAAGAUAUGUUAGAAUAUAUUAGACAAACUAGAGAAAAUCAAGAAAAUCUAAAUAAUGAAAUUAAUUAUAGAAACCGAAUUAGACAAAUAAUGAAAGACCUAAAAGAAAAAUUAAUAUGGAUAGAAAAAACCUUAGAAAAUUUAGAUAAAAGUACAUGUGAUAGUUUAUAUAAUUUAAAAAACUCACUACGAGAAGAACAACACAAGAUAAUAAAUAACAUUGAAAAUCUAGAAUUAGAUAUACAUUAUAGCACAGAUAGGAUAAAUUAUUAUACAAGAAUUUGUAACUCUGCAAUUACUACAGGAUAAAAUAAUUAAUGAAUAUAUCUUACGAAAAAAGUAAAUUAUUAAAAGAUAUUGAAACAAAAUAUCCACGCACUAAUAAAAAUAGAUUCACUAGAAACCUACUAAAUCUAUUAUACCUACUAAAUCUAUUAUACCUAUUAAAUCUUUUUAAUUCUUUACGUUUUUCUGAGAUAAUUUGUUUUAAUUCUUUAUAUUGUUGUACUUUAUUCAUUUUAAAUUAUAUUCAUAAUAUCUUGGUGGAUAUCUAAAUCUAAUUUUAUCAUAAUUAGGUGGUAUAUGUUUCAUUCUUCUAUCUCGGUAUGUGUUAACUUGUGGGGGUAUGAAUAAAUGGUCUUUUUGUGUUUUUGGGGUAAAUGGUUUUUCAAAUAUUUUGUUCAUAUUUACAUUCUGGUAUCUUGGUCUUAGAAUAUUUUCUUUGUCUCAACUCUCUCAUUCACUACUAUACACUGUAAUCUUUUUCACACUUGUCCUAUUUCCUUGUACAUACAAUAACAUGCAAGACCACCUGUAUUUAUAGGUGAGGUAUUCAUCCUUGUAUUGAAUAGGAUAAAUGAGGGGUAGAUGAAUAGUCUUAGGUUAUAUAAGUUACAUGAAAGUAAUGGCCAUGAAGUUACAAGAACUAAUGACCUUGAGAGUUACAAGAACUAAUGGUCAUUUAGGUUACAAAAACGUAGAUGACCAAAUUCAUCCAAUAAUCAAAUAAUUAAAGUCCACAUUCUUACCACUACUAAUGUGAGUAAAUAGGUAUAUAAUACCUCACAAAUUUAGAGUAAACAUGCAUCCAAAAAGACAUAUUUUUUUACUUAAUGUCGUCAUUUAUUGACAAGGAGUAAUGUGCUUGUAAUUAACACAUAAUGACACCAAGGGAUAAUAUGUUUGCUGCUUCACCAUAUUAACGGAUAGGAGUUAUAUCACAAAUGCAUAAUAAUAUUAUAUAAAAGUAGUAUUAAAAUACUAACCCUAACAAUCCUCCACUCAUUUUAAUAUUAACAAAAGAGAGUUCACCAAUUAGUUGAAGGGAGGCUAUUAUGCAUAAUACAGGUGUGCUCUGCAUUGAACCUCCUCUUAAUAAAACAAUAAUCUUUACUCCAGAGUCAGUAGUGGUCUUAGACUUGAACUAUGAUUGCUUAAGAAAAAUAAAGAAUCAGUGCUUACACACAAUAAUCAAGGUGUUGAUAUAAACUUUAAUAUCCAGCACGUUACGACCAUGUGCUAUUUCGAUUUUUCAUGAGCGUUUUUUAGAAUAAACCCAAUUCUCAUAGGAAACAACCUACUUCCACACUCACAUAGGUGAAAUUUGUCAAGGGUGGUCCUAUAAUUUUUACACCCCACUCAUAAGAUAUACAAAAUUUGAUGAAGAGCUAUUUGACUCAACCUUCACAAAUCAUUACAGGAACAAUGCACUUACAUCAUAGGAAGGAUUAAAUAAUAGUGCAUCCCACACCAAAUCAUCAUAUGAUUCGUUCUUCCCGUUGAACCUGGUUAUAAGAUCUCUAGUCCACAGGUUGGGUUUCCUCAUAUAUGUCUCAUGAUUUUUUAUAGACUUCCCUCCUUCCUCCCUCUCGAUGUGAUUCAGACCCUCUAUCUUGCCAAGGCCUUGCUUAGUUCAUUUGCUACAUAUAGUUUGAAAUACUCAAUGUUAGUGGUACCACUUGUCAAAUAUAAUAUCACAAUACUAUUUUUAAUUCUCAUGUGUCUAAAUUUAUUGUUGUAAUAACAGUCUCAAACUUUAUCAAUAAUAUUGGCGCUAUCACAAUAACUCAAAAUUAGAGAAAUUAAUUUCUCAAAAUAAAGUGAUUGAUUAAUUCAUUUUUUUUCCUAGUUGAACCUAAAAUAAUUAUUUCAACCUCCACGAUAGAGUUAGCAAAUAAUAAUUUUUUUCUCAUUUCAACAAAUAGCACCAAGAGUUCUCAUCUGCAUUACAAAGUACUUUUAAGUAAAGAAGGAUUUUUUUUAAAUAGAACAAGCCACAAAUUUUUAUAUCAAGUAAAUAUACUUGAUUCACUUGUGUAUACCUGCAAAAUACUUCUAUUGCAUGGAUAAUAUCAAGUCAAGUACAAUUAGCCACCUAUCUCUUCUUUUAUUGGGUUAGCAAACACCUUUUUAUUUGUCACAUCACUUUCAUAUAUUUGAAUCAAAAGGAAUUGCAUAGCUUAUACAAUCAACAAAUUAUAUUUCACAAUUUUUUUUUCACCAUAAUGUGACAUGUCAAGAAAAAGUUUAUCACAUGAUUUAGGUAUUUUUCAUUCCUAGAACGAAAUUUAUCUCACUCAAAUAUUCAAUGUCAAGUUGGCUAUUCAAUUUAUCAUUUAUUUGAUAACAUGCAUGUUAGAGCCAAAGACAUCAAUAAAUAUACAAAUAGUAGUAACAUGUGAUUUAUUCCAAGACUAAUAUAUGCACUUGUAAUUUCUUUUUAAAGUAUUCUCAAAAUAGCAAAAUCACAUUUUUCAUGAUGAUUUUUUCUCAUUUCAUUAGCCCCUAGUAUUUGAGACUUUAAAAAAAAAAAUAAACUUUCAUAAAAAGUAUCAUUUUAUUCAUGAAAAAUAAUAGGUAACUUUUUACCUUUCCUCCACAACAAGUAGAAAAGAUUUUACCUUCCCUCCGCUUGAGUUGAGGAGUAGAAAGAUACUUUACGUGGCUAUCUCUUGUCAUCCAUCUUUUGAGAUCUUUCAUAUUUAUGUCCAUGAUUUUUCAAGCCGUAACAAAAUUUAAAUCUCCUUAAAAUUUUGGUGUAAUAUACCACAAAUUACCAUAGUUACAUUUGAAAUAAUAAAAUGAACAAAAUUGAAGAAAAUAAGAUAUUUGUCUUUUUGGAUGAGGCACGAAUAUCUCACUCUCUUUAAGGAAAUUCAAGCCCAUUGUGGCAUAAUUUACACUGAUCCAGCAGUAUAUCUCUUGACUGAUCCGCUCCAGGAUACAACAGCCCAUCUACGAUGUACAACUCAAACAACUCCGGAUUAGGUGAAGAGUCCAAAGCUCCACCAUAAGAACACCUUCCUUCAACAUAUAUUUACUCUCUUUGUAUAGUGAAUAUAGUUAAAGACUUUGAAUAUUUUCUUUGUCUCAACUCUUUCUUUCACUAAUGUAAUAACUCUCUUUUGUAUAGUGAAUAUAGUUGUAGAAUUAGGAUAUUUUCUUUGUCUCAACUCUCUCUUUAACUACUACACACUAUAAUCUUUUUCACACUUUUUAUAUUUCCCUGUACAUAUAAUAACAUGCAAGGAUACCUCUUUUUAUAGGUGUGGUAUUCAUCCUUGUAUUGAAUAGAAUAAAUGAGGGGUAGAUGAAUAGUCUUAUGUUACAUAAGUUACAUGAAAGUAAUGGUCUUAAAGCUACAAGAACUAAUGACCUUGAGAGUUUAAAGAACUAAUGGUCAUUUAGGUUACAAAAAUGUAGAUGACCAAGUUCAUCCAAUAAUCAAAAAAUUAAAAUCCACAUUCUUACCACUACUAAUGUGAGUUAAUAGGUAUAUAAUACCUCACAAUUUUAGAGUAAACAAGCAGCCAAAAAGACAUGUUUUUUACUUAAUGUCAUCACUUAUUGACAAGGAGUAAUGUGCUUAUAAUUAGCACAUAAUGACACCAAGGGAUAAUGUGUUUGUUGUUUCACCAUAUUAACGGAUAAGAGUUACAUCACAAAUGUAUAAUAAUAUUAUAUAAAAGUAAUAUUAAAAUGCUAACCCCAAUAAUAUUAUAUAAAAGUAAUAUUAUAUACUGUUGGAUCGGUGUAAAUUAUGCCGCAAUAGGCUUGAAUCUCCUUAAAAUUAUUGGUGAAAUAUACCAUUGAUCAAUAUAAUCUCAUAAUAUUGUAUUUUUCUGCUUAUGGUCUGAAUUUACCAUUAUAGUAAUGGUUUGUACUCUACCAAUAAAUUUUGGUGCUAUCACAAUAACUCAAAAUUAGAGAAAUUAAUUUCUUAAAAUAAAGUGAUUGGUUAAUUCACUUUUUCACUAGUUGAACCUAAAAUAAUUAGUUCAACCUCCUCUCUAGAGAAUUUUAAAACUUGUCUCCAUGAAGUUGAAAAUCAAUUUAAUAGAAAAAUAAAAAGAAUUAGAAGUGAUAGAGGCCGUGAAUAUGAGUCACAUAAAUUUAAUUCUUUUGGUAGAUCAUUGGGUAUAAUUCAUGAAACUACUCCUCCUUAUUCUCUUGCAUCUAAUGGUGUAGCGAAAAGGAAGAAUAGAACGUUCGUUGAGUUGACUAAUUCCAUGUUAAUUAAGUCUUGUUGAACCUUUAAGCUCUUUUGACUGCUUUUUAUGUGUUGAAUCAUUUGCCUCAUAAAAAGACCAAACUAACACCUUUUGAGUUGUCAAAAGGUCAUAAGCCAAAUUUGGGAUAUCUAAGAGUUUAGGGUUGCUUAGUCUAUGUAAGGUUAAUGGAUCCUAAAAUCUCUAAGUUGGGUAAAAAAAUUACUACUUGUGUUUUUCUUGGUUAUGCUUCAAAUAGUACAACCUAUAGAUUUUUUAGUCAUGAAGAUAGUGUGAUAAUAGAAUCAGGUGAUGCUAUUUUCAUAAAAAUAAAUUCUCGUUUGAUUCUAAAAAUAGUGGGGUCAAAUGAAUAAAGUGAUAUGGGUCAAAGCAGCAUCGAGGACAUGAAGACAUGAGUGAAGACCCGAGUUUGUGGGGCUGCUCAGCAAAGAAACAAGCUUUGAAAUGUUGAGAACAAGUCCCAACACUCCAAAACCAUCCAAGGAGUACACUACAAUGUAACGCCCCAAAUCUGGUACCCAAAAUGCUACACGAUGCUCAUAAUCCCAAAGGACCACAAGCUAAUCCAUGACUGAUAUCUGUAACUGAGCCCUGAAUAAUAAUAGCAAUAUCGUAAAUACAGAAACAUAAACUGAAAGGUCAUAAGGUUCAAUACUAAUACAUAACUAAAAAUAUGGUAUAACAAUACCAAAAUAACUGAAAUAACUGUCCGAACAUGUUGUGGUUUGAAAGCCUCUAAAAACUGAACUGUCUGAAUAAAGAGUUGAUGGGACAAACCCCCAACUAACCCCAUCUGCUAAAAUAAACUAAGUACUGAAAGAAUGAAAUAAUCAAAUAAUAACAUCGUUGAAUGAUAAGGACUCACUGCUGACUCUGACUACUGAAACUAGAAUGCUACUGAUACUCUAGAAUGCGUGCUUCUGAACCUAUGGUAUAAAAGACCAUAGCGCAAAUACGUCAAUACGAUUGAAUAUACUGGUAUGAAAGUGAGGUAGGCUGAAUGCAAUGGUUCAUAUGCAUGAACAAUACUAACUGACUAAACAACAUGAACGUAAGAAUACUUGCAUGAAUACGUAACUGUAUUUGAGAUCGUGAUAACACUAACUCAUGAAUUCUAAUAACGUGGAUUUACUGAUAUCUGGGUACUAAUACUAGGAUACUUAAAGACUAAUUCUAUUGAGUACUAAGGAACUGAUGUCAUAUUACUGAUAAAGGAAUGACUGUUUCUGACAGUUCUGAUUUUGGAGAACUGGUCUGAUUAACUGUAUCUGACAGUCCUAAAAUCUGAAUACUGGUAACAUGAAUUUCAUAUAAUUAAUAUACUAUUAACUGGGUGACUGUGUCUAACAGUCCUGAUUUUAAUGAAACUAGCUGAGUUCCGUAUUGAGCUAAGCGACUGUAUCUGACAAUCCUGAAACUAUAGAACUAAACUAAGUUCUAUUACUGAGACUGGAUCUAAAACUGAGACUGUGGAAGGUAAUCAUCUUACCAACAUGCCCCAAAAAUGAACUGGUCGGGUCCAACUUAUAACCCCAGCUGGAAAGUGUCAGUACCGUGCCACGAGUAAAGAUAAGUUAUAAGUAAACCCUCUCUGACAAGGAGCUCUUCCGUCAACCCCUUCUAGUAGGUAGAUCAAAUGAGGUGUAUAAUCCCUAAAAUUAUAGGGUACAUCUCAACCUACACUGGCUACAUAGUUUUGGAAUGUAAGGAUUGCUUUUAAGGAUCAGACCCUCUACUGACUAACAGGUGAGUCCCCAUCCUUGAGUUCAUAUGCCGAAUCUUACUCCCAACUGAAGAGAUACUGAACUGAUUUAAACUAAACUAAACUAUUACUGAUAGUAUCUUUUAUCUAAUUUGAACAGAGUUCACUAAAUUUUGUUAACUAAUGGAAUACUACUGAGAUCAGAUAACUGACUGAGAUUACUGAGAUUACUAAGUUUUCCUGAGUCAUAUAACUGACUAAAUUUUAAUGAUCAUGGCUUGAAUGGGAGUAUCGUGAAAACUGACACUGACUCUAGGCACACAGCUAAAUUGUUGGGUACAAGUACCCCCAGGACUCGAUAGAAUAAAAUUGACAAGACUUGACACUUCAUGAACACAUAACCAAUAUCAAUAAUUCAUAAUACAAUAAGUUGGGGAUUUCAUAAAACAAAUGGUUGUUAUAAUAUUGUACAUAGAUGGAAUUGCAUAUAGAUAUGUCAUACUUUCAUCAUCCUAAUCUCAUGAACAUUCCAUCAAAUACUCAUAAUGCAUACAAUAUCAUGGAAGUCAGUCUUGGUCAUAAAGGUAAAGCAUACAUUUAUUAUUUGAGUCACAGUUAAGUUAUAACACCCAAUUUCUAUCCUCCCAGCCAUUUUGUCAAACACCCUACAUACAUAACUUAGGGAAUAGGUGAAAUCAUCAAAUUACACAUCAUAAACAACUCAAUUCAUGGAUUUCAUCUUGCAUGCUAACGUAGUUUCAUGAAAACACAUAAAGAUUCCAACUUAGGAAUCAUACAACAAGAUAAACAUGGUUACAAACAACCCACAACAUAAAUAUCAUGUUUUAUAAUUUGAAACAGGGUUCUUGGACUUCAUGGAUGAAAGGAAUCCAUAAAUCAAUACUUAACAUAUCUUAGUUCCUGAUUUUACAAAGAUUGACGGAGAGAUUCUUGAAUUUGUGUAUUGAAUUUGAAUCCUUAAUUGAAAACCCUAGCUUGUUCUUGAGAGACUCCAUAUUUUGGGUGAAAUAUGGUUGAAUUACAUGUUAUUGGGUUUAUCUAAGAAUGGGAAAUUAACCUUUUUGCCUUUAAAAAUGUGGACAUUUAAUGACUAAAAAUUAGGUGCCGACGCUAUAAGCAGCGCGAUGCGUUGAUGGGUGUGAUACGAUACUCAAUGCGUUACGCCAUGAUUGUAUCGAGCCUCAGAAGUUUUAGCUCUAGAAACCUGCACAAAUGUUGACCAACGCGACUGGUGAUGCGGCGUUCCAUGAUCGUAUUGGUCCACUAUUUUAGAACUCCGAACAUGAUCUAAACGUGUUCUGAAAAUCCGAAACUUAUUUGGAAACACCUAUUGACCUUCCUAAUCAUAAAAUAAUAAAAAUAUGGACCAUUAAAGGACUUUAAGGUGGUGAAAUGAGAUUGCCAACUUUCGAAGGCCAAUAAUAGGCUAAGUCUGGGAACCUAGCUAGAAUUUUCUAAAUCUGCGACCCUUGACAAGCUUAAAGGACUGAAUUAAGAUUUAGGAUUUUACGGGGUCUUACAAUAUCUUCCCCUUUAGAACAUUCAUUCUUGAAUGAGACUAAUUAAGAGGGAAGAAAAUAUAAAUUGACGUACAUACUGAACAUGAACAACUGGAACCUGAUUCCAUGACUGACAUGACUGAUAAACUGAAUGUAUCAUACUGAACAUGCAUAUCUGAUGCAUGGUUAACUGGUUCAUAAAUGCAUGACUUAAUAUGCAAUGGUAAUUGAUACAAGUUUAUCAUGGAAAUCUGAGCAUGAAACUGGAUAAGUUUAAGGGAGAUUGUUUCCUUAAAUUGAAAAUGCUAAUAAGCCUAAAAUUAAUUACUAGAUCUGUAUGAGCAAAAAUACGUGAACGUAACUGGUUCUGGAAUGUGAUACAUGAGCUAGAUAUUGUGAUCUAAACUGAGUACCUUGAAUACACAGCUUAUAGCUGAGGUUGGAGUUUGAGGGUCAACUUAUAAGUACCCCCUUACUCCAAAUUAGAUUCAUUACGAGAAGAGAUAAUGACAUGUUUUAUGUUAUGAGAGUUUGGGGAAUUAUUUUGUAUCUCUCCCUUGGGACACUAGGUCCCUCAAAGAAUACUAAUUUUGUUGAGAUAAUGAGGAAAUCUAGGGCAAUACAGAAGGAACCUAUGAACUGAAUUGCAGCUGGAUAUCCGAUAUCUGAAGCUAAGACAAAGUGAUUAGACCUUACGCACUACAACUAAGACUACUAAAAAGAUUUACGUGGGUGCUGAGCAUGAAUGCAUAAAUAUAUACUAACUUUAUCUGCUUAACUGAAUAACUUAUAUCUGAGUAUUGGGCGUGUAAGACUGAACUGUACUUAGUCUAGAUAGUUGGAUUGAGACUAUAGGGUAUUAUAUAUAGGAGGUAAUGACUGAAUGGGUAACAUGAGGUAAAUGAGCAUGAGUGAAGAAAAACUGUAUUACCUUAGGAACACAAGACCAGGCGUCUAAUCAUGAUUUGGAAACAUUUUGUAAACUAAGGUACUAUAAUACUAAUAACUGAGUAACUGAUGGCCAUAUGUUAUAGUCGGGUAAUCUUGAAACUGGAUUGAGUUUCUGAUCUGACUACUGGACUAGGACUGGGACUGAUAUUGUAGCUAAGACGGUAAUUGAGACUGUAACUGUAACUAAGACUGUAACUGAGACUGAAUGCUGGUUUUCUAUAACUGAGGGUAUGGGAGUACUGAAUUUUGAUGGCUAAGUAACUGAUAGCUAAAAGCCAUGGUUCUGUAGGACUAUCUGAGUCCUUUACUGAAUACUCCUUCCAUUUUGGAAUAAGUGAAUUGUUGGGGUAUUUGUUGGUGUUUCAAAAUAAGUGAAUCAUUGAAUUUUUAUUCAAAUUUUUCCUUAUGAUUUGACAACUAAUUAAAUUUUAAAAAGGUAUUACAAGGUAAGCUUUUUCUUUUUUGGGGUAAAAAUGGAAAGUUGUGUUAAAUUUAUGUCUUUAAUGCUUUUUCCUUAAUUUGUGUGCCAAAAUCCAAUAAUUCACUUAUUAUGAAAUGGAGGGAGUAUUGAUUACUGAACUGACACUGAAACUGAGGCCUGCGGGAUGGAACAUUAACACUAUAGAUUCACCAAGGGAUCUAAACUGAGGGUAUACGUGGCAUAAUCCGAGUUUUACUGAACACUAGGAGUGAAUUCAUGAAUCGUGUGGGCUAAGCAUACUAUAAAUCAUGACAUGAGUGCAUGAUUCAUGAGCUGCAUGAACUGGGUUUGGAAUUUCUGAAUUCGUGGAACAUAAUUCGAACAUUGGAUGACCUUGGAUUCCUCAUACGAAAAACUUGAAACACAUACUAUUCAAUGAAAUGCACAUGAAUAUAAGUUGUAUUCGUGGGACUGAAAUGGAAAGCAUGUGCAAGUAUCAUGAUGGUUGAAGUACAAAACUUCGCACUGAGAUAAUAAUGGUUCGGGAAUCUUCCCUUAUGGAUUUCCUACAUAUACUGGUAUUACUACUGGAACCUGAAGACCUAGCUUUCAUAGAUUUCAUAACCAGACAGUUCCUGUAUACCUGUCGGGCUGUGUUAGACUGAAUCAAUGGGGUGGGGAUUAUAAAUAGGUCCUGUUAAAAUUUGGUCUGACCUUAAAGUUAAAUGCUAUGCAAAGAGUUACAAAAGAAAAAAAAACUCCUGAAUCUGAAGAAACGUAAAAAUAUAAAUGAGGGACCUGUAACAUACCAGUGGCUACAUCAGGAGGAAUUUCCUGAUCCUAUUGGGACUGAAGUACAUAAGUCUGCUUGGGCGUUGCCCACUGAUAGCCCUGGAAUUGGCACCCUGCUGAUUCAGGGGACCGGACUGAGUUAAAGGACGACUGUGCUUACUUCUAGGUCCAUUACUAGGACAAUAUCGACCCCUGUGACCUGUCUCUCCACAUCCGAAACACACAUCAAUACCUGCUCUACAUAUACCUUAUGAUGCUUACCAUACUCUUCACAAAGUGGAUGACUAAAAACCCUGCUCUCACUACCCUGGGCCUUGGAGCUUGGUGCCUUAUCUCUGCGGUUAUUUCUGAACUUUAGUACUGGUGUACUAGCUGAAGAUUGAACUGGGGCUGAAAAUCUCUGUCUAUACUGAAAUCGAUUACCACCCUGCAACCCUGGCUGAGAAAAAUAUUAACUACCAGUUCUGGACCUCUUAUGUUCCCUUUCCUUCUUCUUAAGUUUCUGCUCCUCAAUCUGUUAAGCAUGGACCAUAAGCCUAGAUAUGUCUAUCUCCUUAAUCAACAUCGCAGUCCUGCACUCCUUAACCACUCUACCUGAUAUCCAGAUACAAACUUAUUCAUUCUAGAUUUACUGUCUGCUACUACAUGAGGAGCGUACCUGGCUAACUGAGUGAACUUAAGGGACUUCUUUUACGCUCAUGCUACCUUGUUUGAGGUUGAUAAAUUCUAAAACUUUGGCUUCUUUCUAAUCUAGGGGAAAGAAUCUACCUAAGAAAGCUGUAGCAAACUCUUUCCAUUCUAUGGGCUCUGUAUCUGCACCCCUGUCUACCUUCCACUACUUAAACCACGUAUGGGCUACAUCUUAUUGAUGAUAGGCGGCUAACUUUGCACUCUCACUAGAAGUCACUCUCAUGAUAUCUGUGACUUUUUGAACCUGAUUGAGGAACUCCUCUAGAUUCUCUUCGGACUUAGAACUAGAGAAUAGGGGAGGAUUCAUUCGGGUAAAGUCCCAAAUCCUGGCUGCACCAGAAUUGGCCAUAGGGUUGGCCGGAACAGUAGCUGGCCGAUCAUUCUGAGUUGUGAUAGAAUUGGCUAUAAUAGUGAAUGCAAUUCUGAAUUCUGCAUGAGAGACGUGCUCAUCUGGAGGAUCUUCCUGGAUAGGCUGAGGUGCUGACUAAUUCCCUAUUCCUUUUUCAUUAGCCCUUUUGGAGGCAUGUUCUAUAAACGGAAGAGAAGAAGGGAUUAAACUGAGAGUUUGACUAGAGCUCAUGCUCACUCGCACGAUAUGAAUACUAAAAGAAGGGAAAAUGUUCCUAAAAUAUCUCAUAGCCUCCUACACAUAAGUGUGGUGCACAACACACCUAUGUACAAUACUCUACUAGAUGCGGUAUUUCAGAAUUCCUAAGACGCUGUUGAACCUUAGGCUCUGAUACCAAGUGUGUAAUGCCUCAAAUCUGGUAUUUACAGUGUUACAUGGUGCUCAUCAUCCUGAAGGACCACAAGCUAACCCAUGGCUGAUAUCUGUAACUGAGCCCUCAAUAGUAAUGGUAAUUAUUGUAAAUACGAAAACAUGAACUGAAAGGUCAUAAGGUUUAAUACUAAUACAUAAUUAAAAAUAUGGUAUAACAAUACCAAAACAACUAAAAUAACUAUCUGAACAUAUUAUAGUCAGAAAGCCUCUAAAAAUUGAACUGUUUGAAUAAAGAGUUGACGGAACAAUCCCCAAACUAGCCCCAUAUGCUCAAAUAAACUAAGUACUAAAAGAAUGAAAUAAUCAAAUAAUAACAUCCUUGAAUGAUGAGGACUCACUACUGACCCCGAUUGUUAAAACUGGAAUGCUACUGAUACUCUGAAGUGCGCGCUUUUAAACCUAUGGUAUAAAAAUUCAUAGCAAAAAUACGUCAGUAUGAUUGAAUGUACUGGUAUGAAAGUGAGGUAGGCUAAAUGCAAUGGUUCAUAUGCAUGAACAAUACUAACUGACUAAAAAACAUGAACGUGAAACUACAUACAUGAAUACGUAACUGUAUCUGAGAUCGUGAUAACACUAACUCAUGAAUUCUAAUAAUGUAGAUUUAAUGAUAUCUGGGUACUAAUAUUGGGAUACUAAAAUACUAAGUCUAUUAAGUAUUGAGGAACUAAUGUCAUAUUACUGAUAAAGAAAUGACUAUUUCUGAUAGUUUUGAUUAUGAAAAACUGGUCUGAUUGAUUGUAUCUAACCGUCCUAAAAUCUGAAUAUUGGUAACAUAAAUUUCGUAUAAUUAUAUACUAUUAACUGGGUGACUGUGUCUGACAGUCCUAAUUCUGAUGGAACUAGCUGAGUUCCGUACUGAGCUGAGCGACUGUAUCUGACAGUCCUAAAAUUGUAGAACUGAACUGAGUUUUAUUACUAAGACUAGAUCUGUAACUAAGACUGUGAAAGGUAAUCAUCUAACUGACAUACCCCGAAAUUAAACUGUGGGGUCCAACCUAUAACUCCAGCUGAAAGGGUGUUAGUACUAUGCCACGGGUAAAGACAAGCUGUGAGUAAACCCUCUCUGACAGGGAGCUCUUCCGUAACCCCUUCUAGAAGAAAACUCAAAUCAGGUGUAUAAUCCUUAAACUCGUAGGGUGUAUCUCAACCUAGGCUGGCUACGUAGUUCAGGAAUGCAAGGAUUGCUUCUAAGGAUCAUACCCUCUACUGACUAACAGGUGAGUCCCCAUCCUUAGGUUCACUCGGUGCUGAAUCCUACUCCCAACUAAAGAGACACUGAACUGAUUUAAACUGAACUAAACUAUUACUGAUAGUAUCUUUUAGCUGAUUUGAAUAGAGUUCACUAAAUUCCAUUGACUAACGGAAUAGUACUGAGAUCGGUUAACUUAUUGAGAUUACUGAGAUUACUGAGUUUUCCUAAGUCAUGUAACUAACUGAAUUAUAAUGAUCAUGGCUUGAAUGGGAGUAUCGUGAAAACUAAAACUACCUCUAGGAACACAACUAAAUUAUCGGGUACAAGUACCCCCAGGACUGAUAGCAUGAAACUGAUAAGACUUGACACUUUAUGAACACAUAACCAAUAUCAAUAAUUCAUAAUAUAAUAAGUUGGGGAUUUCAUAAAACACAUUGUUGUCAUAAUGUUGUACAUGUAUGGAAUUGCAUAUAGAUAUGUCAUACUUUCAUCAACCUAAUCUCAUGAACAUUCCAUCAAAUACUCAUAAUGCACACAAUAACAUGGAAGUCAGUCUUGGUCAUAAGGGUAAAGUACGCAUUUAUUAUUUGAGUCAUAAUUGAGCUAUAAUACCCAAUUUCAAUACUCCUAGCCAUUUUUUCAAACACCCUACAUGCACAACAUAGGACGUAGGUGAAAUCAUUAAAUUACACAUCAUAAACAACUUAAUUCAUGGAUUUCAUCUUGCAUGCUAACGUAGUUUCAUGAAAACACAUAAAGAUUCCAACUUGGGAAUCAUACAACAAGAUAAACAAGGUUACAAACAACCCACAAUAUAAAUAUCAUAUUUUCUAAUUUGAAAGAGGGUUCUUGGACGUCAUGAAUAAAAGGAAUCCGUAAAUCAUCACUUGACAUACCUUAGUUCCUAAUUUUACAAAGAUUGACGGAGAGAUCUUGAAUUUGAGUAUUGAAUUUAAAUCCUUAAUUAAAAACCCUAGCUUGUUCUUGAUAGAAACUUAAGAGAAACUCUAUAUUUUGGUUGAAAUAUGGAUGAAUCACGUAUUAUUGGGUUUAUCUAAGGAUGGAAAAUUGACCCUUUUUACCUUAAAAAUGCAGACAUUUAAUGACUAAAAACUGAGUGUCAACGCUACAAGCGAUGCAUCGCGCUAUGAUUGGGUCGAACCUCAGAAGUUUUGGCUCUGGCAGCCUGCACAAAUAUUGACCAAUACGAUUGGCGAUGCGGUGCUCCAUGAUUGCAUUGGUCCACUAUUUUGGGACUCCAAACAUAAUCUAAAUGUGUUUUGAAAAAUCUAAAACUUAUUCAGAAACACCUAUUGACCUUCCUGAUCAUGAACUAAUAAAUAUAUGGACCAUUAAAGGACGUUAAGGUGGUGAAAUGAGAUUGUCAAAUUUUGAAGGUCAAUAAUAGGCUAAGUCUGGGAACCUAGCUAGAAUUUUCUAAGUCUGGCACCCCUUGACAAGCUUAAAGGACUGAAUUAAGCUUUAGGAUUUUACGGGGUCUUACAUAUAAGGCCACCCUUUGUUUGGGCUCAUUAAGGGACUUUUGUUCAAUUUUGUAAUAAGUGUUUCCCUAGUCUAUAAAUAGAAUAUUUAGGUCAUUUUGUCAUUUAGAACUUUGAUGAUAUACCUUGUAAACUCAUUGAGAGUGUUUGGCAAGGUGGAAUCCUUGUGGCAAGAUAAAAUCCUUGUGUUGUUAACUUGCUUAGAAAUGGUGGUUGCUUGGGAGUUCCCAUUCCCUUGAGGUAUCCGUAAGAGUGUAGGUGUCUUGUAUUCAUGUUGUUUGUGUUUUGAUGUUUAAUAUACAUCUUAGUUCCUAUAACGUAUAGUACAUUAUGUAUCACUAUCUAUCCUCUUAGUUAUAAUCAACGUGUUUUCCGUUCUGUAUUGCUUGUUCAUCUCGUGAUAGUGGACUAUUUUGUGCCAUUUCGUGGGCUGUUUUAGCACUUUAUAGGUCGUUCUUGUAUCAUUUGGUAUUAGAUCUAUCAUUGAUUUCAUUUUUAUUAGAUCAAUCUUGGGCUUGUUCCCUCAAAAAAUUAAAAAAAAAGUGUUGAAAAACUCAAAAAUAGUAAUCUGUCCACGUUUUUGUGCUUAGGCCAAAAUUUAAAACCUAUUUUUCUUGUGAUUUUUGUGUGUUUUGUGUUUUCUAGUGUUAUAUAUUUGUUUCCUAACAUUAGAAGAGGUGUCCAAGGUCGAAAAUCUCACCAAAAGAAUCUAUUCUACGAGUUUGGUGUCUUGGACAAAGUGUUGUUGUUGUUUGGCCAAAUUUGUGUCUAGAUUUAGGUUCUGUUUUGAUUGUAUUUGUUGUUUAUUGUGUUGGUUUUAUUUGUCUCUAACACUACUUGAGUCUAACCCAAGUUCCUGAGCAAAAAAAAUUGCAAGUUGUUGUGGGAAGAGUGGACGGCUUUGUUGUUGUUGUCGGAGUUCUUGUGUUGUGGUGAAAGUCUAGUAAAAGGUUGUUGUUUGAUCUAAAUUCAAAGGGAAGAUAGUGUGGGUUCUUAUUAGUCUUAGAAACAACUUUCAAGACAUUACCAAAGGUGAAAAAGAACAAAAGACCUCCCAAAAGUCUUCAUACCAAAAGGGAGUAAAUUCAUUUUUACUAGACAAGACAAAAGAGGAAAGGGGGACAAGACCUCCAAAAGGUUGUCUUGACAUUUUGGUGCAAGUAGGUGAAAGACUUUAUGAGUAUUGAAAGUAGAGUCUAGACCUUUUUUGUCUCAUACCUUGGCCGAAAUUCUCCUCUUCACAUGAAAUUGAACAAUUAGUUUCUUGAAAUAAAAAUUUUUCAAAUUCAACCACAUUCCAACGUCCAAUAGUUAAGUGCCAUGUCAUCAAAGAGCUCAAGAAUAUUGGAUAUUCUAGUUUCACUUUCUUGAUUCCAUUAGUUUCAAUUUUUUUGAUUCUCAUGCUAAUUAGCAAAUAGUAAAUACCUACUAGGUUGUAGAUUAGUUUUUGAGUACGUUUUCUUUCAUGUUAAACGUUGUAUUGUAUGCUUUUCUCGUUUUUAAGUCAUAGUAUUUUCUUUGGUCCAAGUUCGAACAUCAUUUCUCAAGUUGUUUCAAACAAUAAUAUACUCCAAUCUCAAGCCAAAAUUGGGACCAAGUAACCUCAUUGGAGUAUAAGCGAGUUAUCAACACUUGUGAGACCAAUAGAGUGAAACUUCAAAAGUAUGAGCUUGAGAGAUUGCAGACUAUUUUGAGAUGAAUUGUGGACUGAUUUUUGCUAACCUUUAAUGUGUUUGCAGCUUUUGUGUUGUUUAUUUAGUAGUUCUUUAUAGGUACAAUAGCGGAUGAAGGUGAAAAGCCUAGUUGGUUUAAAUCCAUCGUGGCAAAGUUUGAUGUCAUGGAUAGCCGCUUGGGAUAUUUUGAAGGGAAAAUGGAGAGAAUGAAAAGAUGAAUAGAAAAAAUUAAAAGAAUAAUAGAAAUAAUGGAAUGACGAAUAGAAAGGACGGAGAGCUCUAUUUGCAAGAAGUUGGUUAACUUGAUAGAGCAGCCAAGCUUUCCUAAUAUAAUUCCCGUGAGUGGCCAAGCUCCAGAUGAGCUACUAGGUAAUCAAACAAACUCUUGCACUCUAGUGAAUAAGGCAAAUAAACAACUAAGUGUGAAUGAUAGUUUUUCUUUAGGUAAGCCAAAUGUUCCUUCAUUUUGUGAUGAUAAUGUACAACUUCAGAUUGUGGAUACACUAGUUGAUCCACCUAGUGUUGAAGAUAUUGUGUCAAGUGAUAUUAUAUCAUCUUAUGGAAGUCAUGAAGACCAACUUGUGUGUGAAAAUGGUGAUAUUGAACAUGUUGUCCGAUUGACUAAGGAUAACCCUCUAAUUGUUUUUGUUGUAGAUCAUGAUAGUAUAGAGGGAAAAAUUGACCGUAAUUGUAGUAGUAUAAGGGUAGGUAAGUGUGUUCCCAACCCAUUCCCAUGGACACUGCAUCCGUUUGACCCCGAUAAUCAUUUGAAAUAUGGUGAUGAUGUUUUUUGGAAUGACAUGAAUGUGCAUGGAAUGUAUGGUUUUCCUAUCUCGACUUUCAAGCCUAUUUGUUGUUCCAAGAAGUGUCUAAAUUUUCCAUCUGAUAAGCAACUCUUGUUCCUUGUUUCUUGUCAUACUUAUGUGGGUUGCCUAAUUUAUUCUUUCUUGAGAGGGUAUUCGGGUAAGAGGGAUGUUUGGUUGUAUGUGAAGUUUUAGCCAUCAUGGCAAGAUGCUAUGAUGAUUACACUAAUCCUAACCCUCAUACCCUAAGGAACUUGUUUGCUUGUCCUUCCUAUUGUUUUGCAAGGUUUAGAUUCGAGGAUGAAUUCUUUCUAAGGAAAGGAGGAUGAUACGGGUCAAAGAGGCAUCGAGGACAUGAAGACGUGAGUGAAGACCCGAGCUUGUGGGGAUGACCAUCCAAGGAACAAGCUUUGAAGUGUUGAGAACAAGUCCCAACACUCCAAAACUUUCCAAGGAGAACACUACAAGGCCGCCCUUUUUUUGGGCUCAUUAAGGGCCUUUUGGUCAAUUUUGUAAUAAGUGUUUCCCUAGUCUAUAAAUAGAACAUUUAGGUUAGUUUGUUAUUUAGAACUUUGAUGAUAUAUCUUGUAAACUCAUUGAGAGUGUUUGGCAAGGUGGAAUCCUUGUAGCAAGGUGGAAUCUUUGUGUUGUUAACUUGCUUAGAAAUGGUGGUUGCUUGGGAGUUUCAAUUCUCUUGAGGUCUCCGUAAGAGUGUAGGUGUCUUGUAUUCAUGUUUGUGUUUUGAUGUUUAAUAUACAUCUUAGUUCCUAUAACGUGUAGUAUAUUAUGUCUCACUAUCUAUCCUCUUAGUUAUAGUCAACUUAUUUUCUAUUCUGUGUUUCUUGUUCAUCUUGUGAUAGUGGACUGUUUUGUGUCAUUUCGUGGGUUGUUUUAGCACUUCAUAGGUCAUUUUUUUAUCAUAAAGAAAAUAUUUUGUCACUACCUAGUUCUUUUACUUCUACUUUAAAAAAUAAAGAAAAUGAUGAUUUUGAGUUAAGAAGAAGUAAACGAGCUAGAGUAGAAAAAGAUUUUGGGAUUAUGUUUUUAAUGUUGAAGAUGACCCUCUCACUUUAAAAAAAGUUUUUGUCUUCACAUGAUGUUAUUUUUGGAAAGAGGUUGUAAAUGAUGAAAUGAAAUCACUAAUCUCCAAUAAAACAUGGAAGCUAGUUGAUUUACCUCCGGGUUGUAAAAUAAUUGGAUGUAAAUGGAUCUUACGUAAAAAGUUAAAACCGGAUAGAUUUGUUGAUAAAUACAAGGUUAGGCUAGUGACUAUAGGUUUUAAACAACUAGAAGGCCUAGAACUUUUUGAUACUUUUUCUUCAGUAACUAGAACUACAUCCAUUAGAUUUUUAGUUGCUAUUGCGGUAAUUUUUUAUUUAUAAAUUCAUCAAAUGGAUGAAAAAACUAUUUUUUAAAACGGAGAUCUAAAUGAGGAGAUCUACAUAGAACAAUCCGAGUGUUUUGUUGAGGAUGGCCAAGAAAGCAAAGUGUGUAACUUAAUAAAUCCCUAUAUGGCUUAAAACAGGCACCAAAGCAAUGGCAUGAAAAGUUUGAUUCCUGCAUGAUUGAUAAUGGGUUUAAAACGAAUGAGUGUAACACCCCGAAAACGGGUCUCGGAGUGUCACACGGUGCUUGAGGCUAAUAGCCCCAAGCUAACCCUUUGAGCCAUUUUCAUUUAGUUCAACACGAAUCGAUGGAGUUUUCAUAAAUAACCCUCAAAUAUCAACAAAGUAAUCAUCAUCCAAGAAUAAAAGAAUUUCAGAAAGAUAACAAAAUAUGACUUAUUAGUCAACUCCCAACAUCUAUACUAGUCUGAAAAUCCUUUAAGAAAAUCAAAAAAACCAGCGAGCCAUUGAGACAUGCCCCAACUGACUUAUACUCAGUUAUCAAAUGUAAAUAAUUUCGUGAAACCAAUAUCAGACAUCAUGUCCUCAGAACAUGAGGACUCACCACAACAGAGGACGUAGAACAGCGUGCCCGAAGAUUUACUGUCGAACCUGGAACUGAGCACCUGAACCUACAUUUCGAGAAAAUACAACCCACAUCUGAAGAUGUGGGUCAGUACCAUGGAAAGUAACCGAGUAUGUGGGGGUGUAUGCAGUUUUAUAAACAUCAUCAUCAUAAAUAUUUAUAAGAAAUAUGCAGGAUGUAUGAAAGACUCACAUAGGCUGAAGAAAAUCAUCAUAAUCAUGAGAGGAUGAAAUAAGUACAAUAACACAUGUGAGUCAUCAUAUAAUUUGUCAAUCACAUUCAGUUCAUCAAGAAUAUCAAUUCUCAUAAUGUAAAUAUCAUUUAAAUCUCUCAAAAGAAUAAAUUUCUGAGCUACAUGGAGUCCAACGUACAACCCACGUUGGGGAGAGCUGUCCUAUCCUUGCCAUCGGACUAGGACUAUCGAUAUCAAAUCCAUACAAACUAGUGAUCACUAUAUAAAUUAGCCUCAGGCUCACUCCUAUGGGGGCACGUAGUUCUAGGAAAGUAAGGUCGUUUUAUACCUCCCACUAGGUGCUAAAGAUUUCUCCCGGGCUUAGCUUAAAUCAGUUCAAAGACAAUCCACAACAAAACAAUUUUAGUAAUAUAUAAAUAUACAUCGGGAGCCAUCAUGAUAUGUUUUCCAUAUAUCAAAAUCAACCACAUUGUGGAUUUUUUUCACACUCGAGUUCAAAACAACUCCAUUAAGACCAAAAGGUCAAAUCAUUCAAAAUAUCUCAAAUAUUCAACAUCAACAUGCUUAUAACACACACUUUCUAAAAAAAACNNNNNNNNNNNNNNNNNNNNNNNNNNNNNNNNNNNNNNNNNNNNNNNNAAUAUCAUUCAAGAUUCAUGCUUUAUAUCUCCACACAUGUAAAUUCAUCUUUCAAAAUCAUAAACAUCAUGAUUUCAUAAUAAUCAUCAUAAGAUAUGGGUUCAUGCUUCAAAUUCAUAAAAAUCAAAUAAAAAUCAUGCCUUUGUAAAGAAAAUUACUUUUGGGCACAAGAACGAAAGAGAGUUCUUGUUGAAAAACCCCACAUACCUUGAAUGAUGAACUUUAGAUCGAUACUCGUUUUUUAAAUGUUAAUCGUGCCUUUGAAUGAUGUUUCUUGGAGUUCUUAAAUUAGGUACUUGAAAUCUUGAUUAAAUUUACAGAAUUAAUGGUGAACUUUGGAGGUUCUGGAAGUUCUUGAACUAGGAACUUGGAAUCUUGAAUAAAUUUGCAGAAUUAAUGGUGAACUUUGGAGGUUCUUGAAGUUGGAUGUAGGAGCUUAGGGUUUUCUUUUUGAGGGAAUUUGAUGAAAUAUAACAUAUAAUGCUUCUAAUAGGCUUUAAUAUAGAGUUUGGAUGGAUUUUGGGUGAGGAGAAAUGACCAAAACACCCCUAAAAAUCAAAUAAUUUUUGAAUCUGUCCUUUGGUGGACUGUUUUGAUAGUCUGAAGUAGAUCAACCAUAACAUUUUCUCCGAUAUCCAAAUUGGAUGAAACCAAUUUAAUUAGAAAGAGGGCUCUCAUAUAUUUCUGUUGAUAUAUAGUAUCUCACCUAGAUCAUUGUGUAUGAGGAGUUAUAAUCGUUUGAAGUUGACAAAAAAAAUCGCUUUUGAUAGGCUGAAGUAAAUCGAUCAUAACUUUUUGCUUCGAUAGACAAAUUGGAUGAAACUGAUUUCAUUGGAAAGAGGACUCACAGAUCUUUCCAUUGAUAUAUAGUAGAUCACCCUGAUCAUUAUGUACAAUGAGUUAUGAUCAUUUAAAUUUGGAGCAAAAAUACGCCAGGCCUCAGUACUUUUUCCUGCACAUUUUACUGUUCACUACUAUUCACGAUUCGAUCGGAAUGUUCAUAACUCGUCGCUCGGGUGUCCGUUUUGGAUGAUCCACAAAUCGUUGGAAAGAUUAUUCGAUACUCUACGUAAUGGUGGGUCAUAAUAUAAGAUAUUAUAUACGAAAAAAUUAUAAUUUAUUUUAGAAGAUAGAACCCAACACGUUUACGCAAA
rnacentral:lncRNA from 1 species